rnacentral:misc_RNA from 1 species
GAGUGACCCUGCUGUUCAUUCUUGCCUUGGGUCCUCAAUUCUAGGAGCAUGAACCACCAAUUUCGACCAGGUAUUGGUUGGACCAGCAUAGCUUGGCUUGCUAGCCACCCUUAUUCAUCACAUAUCAUUUUCUGUACUCCAUACAAUGCAAAGCACAUGUAAAUAUCUAAGCUUCACAUUUUUCCAAAAAUGAGAUAAGAUGUUAUGUUUCUUUUUUGAUACAUUUGGCUUUGAAUGUUCAUAUUAAUAUGUAAAUGAUAUUGAGUAGAAAUCAAGGUUAUAAUAUAGUGGGAGUUUUUGUUACUGUUUAGGCACUGCAUAUUUUUUUGGGUAAUUUGGAAAUCAUUAUAAGUGGAUGGAGUUUGUCCAUAUUCAAACCUUAACCUUCUACACUACGAGACUGGCACCCGACCGCUGGGUCUAAUGACAGGCAAUGCAUUCUUAAUUCUUAUGAAGGUGGAAUUGGUACUUACGGAAGAAGAAGAAGAGUUGAGAUUGUUAGACAAUGCUUUUGUAGGAAGAAAGAAGUGGUGUUCCUUGAAGAUG